GCACCAUUGGUGUAGCGGUAGCAUCUGCGCUUCCCAAGCGAUUUGAAACAUAGUUUAAAGUCCUGAAGUAGCGCAGGAGCCGAGUUCGACCCUCGGGUGGUGCA